GUGAGCGAAGUUUAGCGAUAAAGCUACAGCCCUCGAAGCUGUAGUUGCGGAUUCAACUCCUGCCGAUUGCG
rnacentral:tRNA from 1 species